AGAGUUUGAUCCUGGCUCAGGAUGAACGCUAGCGACAGGCUUAACACAUGCAAGUCGAGGGGCAGCGGGGUGUAGCAAUACACCGCCGGCGACCGGCGCACGGGUGAGUAACGCGUAUGCAACUUACCUAUCAGAGGGGGAUAACCCGGCGAAAGUCGGACUAAUACCGCAUGAAGCAGGGGUCCCGCAUGGGGAUAUUUGCUAAAGAUUCAUCGCUGAUAGAUAGGCAUGCGUUCCAUUAGGCAGUUGGCGGGGUAACGGCCCACCAAACCGACGAUGGAUAGGGGUUCUGAGAGGAAGGUCCCCCACAUUGGUACUGAGACACGGACCAAACUCCUACGGGAGGCAGCAGUGAGGAAUAUUGGUCAAUGGGCGUAAGCCUGAACCAGCCAAGUCGCGUGAGGGAUGAAGGUUCUAUGGAUCGUAAACCUCUUUUAUAAGGGAAUAAAGUGCGGGACGUGUCCUGUUUUGUAUGUACCUUAUGAAUAAGGAUCGGCUAACUCCGUGCCAGCAGCCGCGGUAAUACGGAGGAUCCGAGCGUUAUCCGGAUUUAUUGGGUUUAAAGGGUGCGUAGGCGGCCUUUUAAGUCAGCGGUGAAAGUCUGUGGCUCAACCAUAGAAUUGCCGUUGAAACUGGGGGGCUUGAGUAUGUUUGAGGCAGGCGGAAUGCGUGGUGUAGCGGUGAAAUGCUUAGAUAUCACGCAGAACCCCGAUUGCGAAGGCAGCCUGCCAAGCCAUGACUGACGCUGAUGCACGAAAGCGUGGGGAUCAAACAGGAUUAGAUACCCUGGUAGUCCACGCAGUAAACGAUGAUCACUAGCUGUUUGCGAUACACGGUAAGCGGCACAGCGAAAGCGUUAAGUGAUCCACCUGGGGAGUACGCCGGCAACGGUGAAACUCAAAGGAAUUGACGGGGGCCCGCACAAGCGGAGGAACAUGUG
rnacentral:rRNA from 1 species